AUUGGGGCUUAUUCCAAAACUCAUUGAAAUCAAGUGAAGAACUUCCCAUUGACCUCAAUAGACUUGGCAUCAGACCCUUGGUGAUCUAUUUUCAUCACUGCUUGAAAAAAUUCUAUUAGUUGCCUUUUUUCAUGCUGAGAGCAUUAUUCCUUGAUCAAAUCUGGUGAUGUUUAUGGUUUUUUUUAAAAGGGAGUGCAGAGAACCUCAAUACCUGCAACUAUUGUUAUAAUAAUCAUCUGAUACUCUUUUUCAAAAGUUCUAAACAAGGCAGCAGUCAGAAGAGUUGCUGGAUAGCAUGAGGGAAGGUUAGUAGAUGUUCAUAUCUCAAAGCGUAGCCUUAUGAACUUUUAUAUAAGGCAAACGCAAAUCUGUAUUGCCUUGAAAUCGCUCAUCAGUCACUUCCUCUACUCAAGUGACCCCACCCUUUCUCUGAGAUCAGAAUUCAUUUUCCUUUCUUUCUCAGCAGCAGGUUCAUCAUAGCCUAGUGAGAAUGUUACUAUUGCAAGUUUAUCUUGUUGCUUCAGUGGUUUGGUCUUAUGGAGAGGCCCAAGUACUGACACAAUCUCAACUAUCCAUCACCAGGGCAGAAAAUAAAACUGCACGAAUUGACUGUCAUGUUUCUGGCAUAACCCUUAGUAGUGCUUAUGUACACUGGUAUCGACAGAGGCCUGAUGCAGCUCUGGAACGGAUUCUGUAUUUUUCAUCAGGAAAGCCGAUCUUUGACCGGGAUUCUGAGAAGGGAAAGUUUGAGGCAGAGAAGCAACUCUCCAACUCAAUCUGUGUCCUGACAGUAAAGAAAAUAAGCAAGAGUGAUGAGGCUACCUAUUACUGUGCCGCUUGGGAUCACACAGUAUUACAAAAGCAUUCACAUUCUGUACAAAAACUUACUUUGUAUUCUCAGCAACAGAUUUUCAAAUACAAGAAACCACAGAUACCUCCUAAUCCUGUUUUUCAUGAUGAACUAGAUGCAAAAACACCUUACUGGUUUCUGUAACAAGAGAUAAAAGCAAGAGAGCUGUUGCUCGCACAUGUUUUGCAAACAGUAAGACCCCACCUGUCUCUGUCAAACAACAAGAUCAAGUAGUUGCACAGGGCGGCUGAACACUCAGGGCAGCAAAAUUUUCAGUUGGUUUCUAGGGGUGACUAAGGUUUGACACAGAUGCACAUUUAUCAGUUUGCAUAAGAGAACAGACAUAAUAAUUGAAUCUUUGUGCAGUUAGUUACUCAAGUGCACUGGAAACUAAACUGCUAAUGUAAACUAUGUUGUAACACUGCUAGAGUAAAUAGCUUGAACCUUUUUCCUGUUUCAAAUUAGCAUUUUACCUGGGAAGGGCUUAUUAGUCCAGCAGAUGCCUGCUCAU